CUGAACCAGCCAAGUAGCGUGAAGGAUGACUGCCCUAUGGGUUGUAAACUUCUUUUAUAAAGGAAUAAAGUCGGGUAUGCAUACCCGUUUGCAUGUACUUUAUGAAUAAGGAUCGGCUAACUCCGUGCCAGCAGCCGCGGCAAUACGGAGGAUCCGAGCGUUAUCCGGAUUUAUUGGGUUUAAAGGGAGCGUAGAUGGAUGUUUAAGUCAGUUGUGAAAGUUUGCGG
rnacentral:rRNA from 1 species